GACGAACGCUGGCGGCGUGCCUAAUACAUGCAAGUCGAACGCAGUAGGGACGGGUGAGUAACAAGUGGGUAACCUCCCAUCAGAGGGGAUAACACUUGGAAACAGGUGCUAAACCGAUACUGAUGGAUGGACCCGCGGUGCAUUAGCUAGUUGGUGCGGUAACGGCUCACCAAGGACCUGAUGCAUAGCUGACCGGUGAGGGGGAUCGGCCACCCUGGGAGUGAGACACGGCCCAGGCUCGUACGGGAAGCAGCAGUAGGGAAUCGUCGGCAAUGGACGAAAGUCAGACCGAGCAACGGCUAGGGAGUGAAGACGGCUUUCGGAUCGUAAAACUCUGUUGUUAUAACAACGGUAGCUAACCAGAAAGCCGAGGAUAACUCCGUGGCAGCAGCCGCGGUAAUAC
rnacentral:rRNA from 1 species